AUCUCUCCAACUACUCGUUUCUGGUGGUCGCCGCCAAUGUGGCGAGCUCGUCACCAUGGCCGCCGGCGACUCGAUGCGCCUCGUGUGCAUCGAUGGCGCGGCAUGCACCCCCUCUCCAUGGCCGCUCACAGCCACGGGCGCACUCGUCUCCUUGUCCGCCUCCGCCAGCAGCUGGAUGUGCGCCCUCUCCAUGGCCGCCACAGCCAGGGUGUGCCAGUCGCCAUGGCCAAGCUGCAACCGGCCACGGGGGCGGCGAGUUCGUGCUGGAACCGAGGGGAUUUGCUAGAACCAGCUGUUGUACAUGCUACAAGGUCGAUGCCUCGCCGGAGGAAGCUACAUCCAGCGGUGAAGAGUGUUGCAUCCAACGCCAUUCGAUGUCGGGAGCUGCAAGCGUGCACGUCGGAGCUGCGACCGGCUACUAGUGGAGCUGCAAGAGGGGAGGCCAUUUUUUGUGGAUGUGUUCUCGUUUUGCCGAA